GACGAACGCUGGCGGCGUGCUUAACACAUGCAAGUCGAACGGAAAGGCCCUGCUUUUGUGGGGUGCUCGAGUGGCGAACGGGUGAGUAACACGUGAGUAACCUGCCCUUGACUUUGGGAUAACUUCAGGAAACUGGGGCUAAUACCGGAUAGGAGCUCCUGCUGCAUGGUGGGGGUUGGAAAGUUUCGGCGGUUGGGGAUGGACUCGCGGCUUAUCAGCUUGUUGGUGAGGUAGUGGCUUACCAAGGCUUUGACGGGUAGCCGGCCUGAGAGGGUGACCGGCCACAUUGGGACUGAGAUACGGCCCAGAAUCCUACGGGAGGCAGCAGUGGGGAAUAUUGCACAAUGGGCGGAAGCCUGAUGCAGCAACGCCGCGUGCGGGAUGACGGCCUUCGGGUUGUAAACCGCUUUCGCCUGUGACGAAGCGUGAGUGACGGUAAUGGGUAAAGAAGCACCGGCUAACUACGUG
rnacentral:rRNA from 1 species